GACGAACGCUGGCGGCGUGCCUAACACAUGCAAGUCGAACGCGAAAGUCCCGCAAGGGGCAAGUAGAGUGGCGCACGGGUGAGUAACACGUGGAUAACCUGCCUUCGAGUGAGGAAUAACCUUCCGAAAGGAGGGCUAAUACCGCAUAACACCUUGAGACAAAAGUUUACGAGGUUAAAAGGAAGCAAUUCGCUGGAAGAGGGGUCCGCGCCUGAUUAGCUAGUUGGUAGGGUAAUGGCUCACCAAGGCUUCGAUCUGUAGCUGGUCUGAGAGGACGGCCAGCCACACUGGCACUGACACACGGGCCAGACUCCUACGGGAGGCAGCAGUGGGGAAUUUUGGCAAUGGGCGAAAGCCUGACCCAGCAACGCCGCGUGAGGGAGGAAAUCCUUCGGGAUGUAAACCUCACAAGCAAGGGAAGAGAGCUCAGGGCCGAAUAAGCUUUGAGUCCGACGGUACCUUGCGUAAGCCACGGCUAACUACGUGCCAGCAGCCGCCGU
rnacentral:rRNA from 1 species